GUAAAUGAUGAUGCGUGUAUUCUGCAAUGCGGACCCCACUGACGAGGAUCAAUACUACUACAAUGACUAUUGGCAUCUGACCA
rnacentral:snoRNA from 25 species